ACCCGAACUGGAGCUCGGUUACCCAGAACUCACCUUUUCAGCAAACUCCACCGAACCGAACACAACCAAGAACUGGUUGGGAAGCAGAAAAGCCUGCCGUGGGAACAGGGAUUUCUAAAGCCAGUGAAAAGAGGUUGCAUCAGGGUCUCUUCCAAUGAGUCGGCUCUUCGCAUCAGGUGGCCAAAGGAUUGGAGCUUCCACUUCAGCAUCAGUUGCUCCAGAUCUACCAUGUCAGAAUUCAGUGUGGGAGAAAUCAUCGGUUGAUUGUUAUGCUCAGGAUCUGGACAAAAGAGUACUUUAAAGUUUGCCAAUCAAAGACGUCUAAGUAGGACACGGAGAGCAGGCGGAACACGGGCGGCGAGGCCAUGGCAGCACGUGUAACUCUGGAAUGCACAGCUGCACUCCACAGCACAGCUGGGAGGGAGCAGUGCCGGCCCAGUCAGCCCAGCCCGCCCUCAGUCCUGGCGCCUUCAGAGCACCGGCCGGCUGCCGAGCCUUGCAUCCGGAGUCUUGAGGUGUAUGAGGAUGAAGAUAUGGUCCUUCUCAGGAAGGUCACCAUCCAGAGGAGGUUAAGGAAUACACGCUAUGGAGUAGAAAUAGCCCUGAUGUGAAGGCUGCCAUCAGAAUUCAAUUUCAUAGCACCAUUCUGAGCAACUGUUUCAUUUUCUGUAACAAAGAGUAAUAAUAUAUA